rnacentral:rRNA from 1 species
UGGGAAUUUUGGACAAUGGGCGAAAGCCUGAUCCAGCAAUGCCGCGUGUGUGAAGAAGGCCUUCGGGUUGUAAAGCACUUUUGUCCGGAAAGAAAUCCUUGGCUCUAAUACAGUCGGGGGAUGACGGUACCGGAAGAAUAAGCACCGGCUAACUACGUGCCAGCAGCCGCGGUAAUACGUAGGGUGCAAGCGUUAAUCGGAAUUACUGGGCGUAAAGCGUGCGCAGGCGGUUUGCUAAGACCGAUGUGAAAUCCCCGGGCUCAACCUGGGAACUGCAUUGGUGACUGGCAGGCUAGAGUAUGGCAGAGGGGGGUAGAAUUCCACGUGUAGCAGUGAAAUGCGUAGAGAUGUGGAGGAAUACCGAUGGCGAAGGCAGCCCCCUGGGCAAUACUGACGCUCAUGCACGAAAGCGUGGGGAGCAAACAGGAUUAGAUACCCUGGUAGUCCACGCCCUAAACGAUGUCAACUAGUUGUUGGGGAUUCAUUUCCUUAGUAACGUAGCUAACGCGUGAAGUUGACCGCCUGGGGAGUACGGUCGCAAGAUUAAAACUUAAAGGAAUUGACGGGGUCAUAGCUG